AACGAACGCUGGCGGCAGGCCUAACACAUGCAAGUCGAGCGCCCCGCAAGAGGAGCGGCGGACGGGUGAGUAACGCGUGGGAACGUACCCUUUGCUACGGAAUAGCCUCGGGAAACUGGGAGUAAUACCGUAUGUGCCCUUCGGGGGAAAGAUUUAUCGGCAAAGGAUCGGCCCGCGUUGGAUUAGGUAGUUGGUGGGGUAAUGGCCUACCAAGCCGACGAUCCAUAGCUGGUUUGAGAGGAUGAUCAGCCACACUGGGACUGAGACACGGCCCAGACUCCUACGGGAGGCAGCAGUGGGGAAUCUUAGACAAUGGGCGCAAGCCUGAUCUAGCCAUGCCGCGUGAGCGAUGAAGGCCUUAGGGUUGUAAAGCUCUUUCAGUGGGGAAGAUAAUGACUGUACCCAC
rnacentral:rRNA from 1 species